AAGCGAUAUAGGGUGGAAAUGUUUGCAAGGGGUUCUGUACUGAGAGCAAUAUGCACCCUUUUUCUCUGUCUGUCACUCUCAGUGUCUGUAAAAACACAAAAUUAAAAAUAAAAUGGAACCAAAUAAAAUAUAACCAACUACACCAUCAUCACCAUGAUAAACUGACAAAGAAAUUUUUGUUAUUGUCAGUUGAGCGAAAUUCAAGGUUCUUGAACUCUUGCACAUGACACCAUAUCUUAACCAGACACAAAUACAGUCAAAGCUGUCUCUUUUUUGUUAAUCUGAGUUUCUGCCCCAGACAUGAAACAUACUAGUCCAGAAAACCAUGUUUAUUUACACCAGUUCUGGACAGUCACGUAGAUGGUGUCUAUUCUACAUCUCUUCUAAUUCACUAGGCUGUGAGACAGAGGCAACAGGCUAAGCAGGAGGUGCAAGAGAGCUAUGCACUCUUGCACGGAGAAAAGGAUCAGCUUCAGGAGCAGGUGGCUACCCUGCAGACCACUGCACAUCGGCUGCAGGGAGAGAAAGCUGAGCUGGAGAGGACACUGCUCCGUCUGGAAAAAGACAGGUCCUCUCUAAAGCAUAUCCUGGAGAAGGUAGAAAAAAAUCGCCAAAGGAAGGAGGCAGAGGUAUUGCAUGCUGAGCGUGAGAGAGAACAGCAAGAACAAAAGAUCCGAAAUCUAGAGCAAGAUUUAAGCGAGACACAGGCCGAAAUUCACACGCUACAGUCACAGAUCUCUAUCUUGGAGCAGACUCACUCCCAGAGGCUCCUGGAAGUGACGGCUCGCCACAGGCAAGAGCUGGACCUGGAGACCGAGCGGAUGAGGGACUCCCAGCAGCAGGC
rnacentral:lncRNA from 1 species